CUGAAAUUACUCCUGCAUGACGUUCUGUUUUACUUUGAGUUCUUUGUUGCAUUAUCCUAGCCUCGGCCAUAGCUACAACAAUAACACCACUCUAAGUUGAGUAAGUUCUGGGACUUUAACACCACAAAUACCCCAUUUUAAGCCCGAUUUAUUCACCCACUAUUGCCCUGCAUAUGAAACUUGUAAUUUUGUCGAAUACAAGGUCUAGAGAGACAGUGUGACAAGUGACAACACAUUUCCAGUUAUAGAUAGCUAUGGAGUGUUAUAGAUACCUAUGGACUGUUAUGUAUAUGGGCUAACUUAGUGCAUAUUUUAGUCUUUGCAACCACUAAGCUAAAAUUAUGAUUGGGCUAUUUCGGUUGCUCAUACAUUGAGAAAGUGCCCAAAUAGGCGAUUUCACUAAGGGACCGCUCAUUAUUUAUUGUACAGG